rnacentral:rRNA from 1 species
UAAUACGUAGGGGGCUAGCGUUAUCCGGAAUUACUGGGCGUAAAGGGUGCGUAGGUGGUUUUUUAAGUCAGAAGUGAAAGGCUACGGCUCAACCGUAGUAAGCUUUUGAAACUGAGAAACUUGAGUGCAGGAGAGGAGAGUAGAAUUCCUAGUGUAGCGGUGAAAUGCGUAGAUAUUAGGAGGAAUACCAGUUGCGAAGGCGGCUCUCUGGACUGUAACUGACACUGAGGCACGAAAGCGUGGGGAGCAAACAGGAUUAGAUACCCUGGUAGUCCACGCCGUAAACGAUGAGUACUAGGUGUCGGGGGUUACCCCCCUCGGUGCCGCAGCUAACGCAUUAAGUACUCCGCCUGGGAAGUACGCUCGCAAGAGUG